AAAUUCAAUGCAUUAAGCAUAAUAACAAUCAUAAGAGCUCCUUUUGUAGUAAGUCAAAUCCCCCCACUAAAAUAAACAGUGCUACUAAUUAAUAAUAAUAAAGGAGAAGAGAUAUUUUCAAAAGUAAGUGUUGUGUUGGAUAGUUGGAGAAUUAGAAUUAGUCCCACAAAGCAUAGCUUGAGUGAGUAGUGGAAGAAAGAAAAGAAGAAACGAUGAGGAUUUUUGGCAAACCUGUAUUUCCAAGACAAAUUAUACUUUUUGCAUCUGGGCUUUUGUUCUUGGCAUCAACAACAUAUGAUGUUCAUAGAUCAAUUAAGAACAAUGAAACACCACCUUCUGAGGAACAGUUGAAGGCUCUUGAAGAAUACAUCAAAUCGGUGCGUCGCUCACCUUAAUGUCCGUGGCCUAUUUUCAACCACGUCAUUCCUAUAGCUAUCUCCACUAGUUCAUAGUCAUAGAUACUCUUCCCUCUUAAAUAAAUUGUUACUCUAAUUAGCAUUAUGAAUAUUAACUUAUAUUUAUAUUUGCAUAAACAAAUUGUUAUUCUA